UAUUUUGAAGUUUUCAACACAUUUUCACUGCCUCCGUGAGAUCCAUGAAGAUUGGACACAAUGCACGCAUCACGAUCGGGAUC
ensembl:ncRNA F52F12.19 ncRNA